GACGAACGCUGGCGGCGUGCUUAACACAUGCAAGUCGAACGGAAAGGCCCUGCUUUUGUGGGGUGCUCGAGUGGCGACCGGGUGAGUAACCCGUGAGUAACCUGCCCUUGACUUUGGGAUAACUUCAGGAAACUGGGGCUAAUACCGGAUAGGAGCUCCUGCUGUAUGGUGGGGGUUGGAAAGUUUCGGCGGUUGGGGAUGGACUUGCGGCUUAUCAGCUUGUUGGUGGGGUUGUGGCUUACCAAGGCUUUGACGGGUAGCCGGCCUGAGAGGGUGACCGGCCACAUUGGGACUGAGAUGCGGCCCAGACUCCUACGGGAGGCAGCGGUGGAGAAGAGUGCACAAUGGGCGGAAGCCUGAUGCAGCAACGCCGCGUGCGGGAUGACGGCCGUCGGGUUGUAAACCGCUUUCGCCUGUGACGAAGCGUGAGUGACGGUAAUGGGUAAAGAAGCACCGGCUAACUACGUG
rnacentral:rRNA from 1 species